GGGGUGUGAUUGGAGGUAGUAUGCCAAGUUGCCAAUGCAAACUUCAGUCAGGCAUUGUUUCGGGUACAGAUGGUUAGGGCACAUAGUUUUGGUGUAACAAAUGGAGCAGACGUGCAGCAGUCUGCACAAGCUAAAACCGCAACUGCCCGAAUUGAAAUUGUUGCAGAUCUGAGCCUUGCCCAGGUACACAAUGGGCAUGCCCAAUUUGUCUUUCAGGCCUCUGUGUUCAGC